AAAGAUUAUGGCAAAGAUAUGAUAAUACCCAGACAAAGAGGCAUCUAUAUGUUUUAAACGAAAUACUACAUUCAACAAAAGUUUCCCAAUCUAGAAGUAGAGAGUAGACAAUAGAUAUUGGAGACUAUCUAAUUAGAGCUGUCAAUUGGGCGGGACGCCCAUGGGCUUGUCCAGUCCAAAUGCAUAUGGGCGGACUAUAUUCUAGACAAAAAACAAAUGGUCUAAUUGGGCAUAUGACCAGUUUUGUCCACGGACAAUAUGGGCUUGACCGUAUGGACAAUGGGCUGCCCAUGGGCAUAAAUUGAGUCAAUAUACAUGUCUUCAUUUUAAUCAUAUUUUUAU
rnacentral:sRNA from 1 species